rnacentral:tRNA from 1 species
GCGGGUAUAGCUUAACGGUAAAGCCCCAGCCUUCCAAGCUGGUUAUGUCGGUUCGAUUCCGUCUACCCGCU